rnacentral:rRNA from 1 species
ACGGGGGGAGCAAGCGUUGUUCGGAUUUACUGGGCGUAAAGGGCGUCUAGGCGGGUUCGUAAGUCAUGUGUGAAACCCCCCGGCUCAACCGGGGAUCUGCACGUGAUACUGCGGAUCUUGAGUAUGGAAGAGGAAAGCGGAAUUCCAGGUGUAGCGGUGAAAUGCGUAGAUAUCUGGAAGAACACCGGUGGCGAAGGCGGCUUUCUGGUCCAUUACUGACGCUGAAGCGCGAAAGUGUGGGGAGCAAACAG